rnacentral:rRNA from 1 species
UACGUAGGGUGCGAGCGUUAAUCGGAAUUACUGGGCGUAAAGCGUGCGCAGGCGGUUUUGUAAGCCAGAUGUGAAAGCCCCGGGCUUAACCUGGGAAUGGCAUUUGGGACUGCAAGGCUGGAGUGUGGCAGAGGAGACUGGAAUUCCUGGUGUAGCAGUGAAAUGCGCAGAUAUCAGGAGGAAUACCGAUGGCGAAGGCAGGUCUCUGGGCUGACACUGACGCUCAUGCACGAAAGCGUGGGGAGCAAACAGG